UGACAAGGUAUUUGACAUUCUUUUCUUGAAACUAAAUCUUCAAAGUCUGGUGUGCAUUCUAUGCUGACAGAGGAUCUCAAUUUGGCCGGGCCACAUUUCAAGUGUUCAGUAGAAACAUGUGGCUAGUGGCCCCUGUCCUGGACAGCACAGGCCCAGCCUACCAAGCCUGAGGUCUGGAAGUUCUGUUUCGGCUGUCUAAAUGGCAGCAAUACAAGCGCGUCCUCAGUGUGUAUGUCUGAUGGGAAGACGACGAGGUGAUGUGCGGGAAGUUCACUGAGCCAUUAUUCUCCCAUUACCAUCAUUAGCAGUAAUCAUCAUGAAUGCACUGGCAUGGCCCACGUCCGGCCCUGUUGCUGCUUGCUUCCAGUUCACGCGGCAUUCUGUGCCGGGGAAUUGCUGACCCAGAUUCUGUUUUGCUGGGGGGGCAGAGGGAGCUGAGGGUGCAGUUUCCAGGUGCUCUAGGCCUGCCUCCCAGCUGAGACCCCACCUACUAGGUGUGUGCUCCUCCCCUUUCUUUAGGUACCAGGCACCCCUCCAGCUUCUAUAUAUAGCACUCUGUGGCGACAGCUGGCUAUCUGAUGACUCAUCAGUCACCGUGGGCGUCUCCGGAUGGAACCCUGAACAUUUAUUCAGAGGGUGCUUUUGCCAGUUUCUGAACGACUCCUAGUAAGUCCUGCCUUUUGGGGAUUGUUUUAACCCCAUGGAGAUUGGGGGUUUGAAGACUCAGUGGGUUCCUGUCUGAAGGCCUCUGGGGGCUUAAAAAGUCCAGUGGGGCUUUGGGGAACUGGCUCCAGGUAAGCCUGUGAACGCAGAGGAAUGCAUUCUCAAACUGAGGGCUUGAGUGGUCUCUCCUUGGUCAUCUGUCCAUCUAAGUACCUGGCUGGCCCCAGAUUGCCCCUGGAAGUGGGGCUUGGGAGAUGUUAGCUCCUUUCAGGAGCUGCAGGGCUCCUCCCAUGUAUUUUCUGUGGGGCAUCAAAGACCCAGGGCUGGCUUUGGAGCUGGGUUUAAUGUAGGCUGCUCUGCUCACCAACUCCACCAUCCUGGGCAAGUCCCUUCUGCUCUCUGGGUUUCCGUUUCCUCCUCUGUGCAAUGCAGUCAAUACCAUUGUGGCCGUCUGGUUCUGAGGGUUGGAGGAGGUGCCGUCUGUAACAACUGUUAUUACUGUGCAGCCCAGGGGCCCCAUCACUUCGGUUUUCUCAGAAGCAGCUUCUGAGACGCGGAUUCGUGUGGAAGCAAUUUAUUAAGGAAGUGCUCCCAAGAAACACGGAAGGGUAUGGAAGGGCAGGACCAAGAAGGGGAGGAAGCCAGUUUCAGACAAAGUCCCUCUGCAGAAGGGUCUUAGUCCAUCCAGGCUGCUGUAACACGGUACCACACGCGGGGGGGCUGAUAAACCACAGACACGUACUUCUCAUGGUUCUGGAGGCUGAGAGGCCGAGAUCAGGGUACCAGCACGGUCGGGUUUGGGGGAGGGCCCUCUUCUGGGCUGUAGAUUGCCAACUUUUCCUUGUGCCCUCACAUGGCAGAGACAGGGAGAGAGAGCUCUCUGGGGUCGCUUUUUAUAAGGGCACUGACCCCCUUCAUGAGGGCUCCAUCCUCAUGACCUCAUGACCUCCCAAAGGAGGAGCUCUGGAGGGCAAGUGUCAACUCAGAGCCUGUCCUGACUCCAGGCAAGAGCACUGUACCUGCAUGCUCCCUUGCACCAGCUAGGAGCUACCUUGCGGUGGCUGAUUAGUGUUUUCGUAGCGUCUCUUCCAGUUCACCGCAGACCUGCUGUUCCGUGGAGUCUGGUGUUGCAAAGCUUGUUGCAAAGCUUGUGCUGAGGAACUGCGAGGGGUCUCUGGGAAUCUCUCUCAGGUUGCCGGGACCAGAGAGCCAUGUGUCUGGCUAAUGUGACCAUCCCUCAACAAGGGUACUGCUCACUGGAUUUCUCUACACAGACUCCCCUCCUGAGGAACUGACUAGGCAUGAAAGAUCUCCCCCAAGAAUUGUUUAGUGACAGCUUAAGCUAGGCUAGCCUCUCUGCCUCACUAAGCUCAGCUGAGGUCAGAGUGGUGGGGUGUGACGCCCGCAACUCCGGGCAGUUAACUCACACAAAGGGAAAACUCUCUCCCCACCUUGCCUACCUGCCUCCCUGCCUGUGGGCAAUUUUGCCAAUGUUUUCCAUUAGUCACAAAGGAGAGGGGCAGGUGGGGGCAGGGUGGUCAGUGGGGACAAUCAUUACACAGGAAGAAAACCAAAACCAUAUUACUAUCUAAGGCACUGUGCUAAGUGCUGGCAUUAGGGUUGCAUUUGGUGAAAAUCCACAUAUAACACAGAAAAAUCUAUGAACCAUCUAGAAAUCCUAACUUCUUGACCCUUGAACUCCUUCUUUAAGAAGAUCACUUGUUCAUGGAGGGCUUCCCUGACCCCUGGGCAGGCUCCUUCCCCAUUCUCUUGGCUGCUUCUGCCAGCACUUGGUGUCCUUUGCCUGAGGCUCUCUUUGGCUGCGUGAGUGGGCAGCCCUCCCUAACACCCUCAACUCUGACUGUUAGGAUUCCGUAAGUAAAUGCUCCAGCCUCCUCAUCCUUCAGGAGGGAUGAUCUGAGGUGUGUUCCACACUGUCAACCAGGGGUAUCCUGCAGGACCCAGCCCCAUUUGCCCCAACAAAUGCGGACAAAUGGGUGGGAGCCUACUUAUCAAUACGGCCUCUGACUGCCCCCCUGGCUCUCUCUCCAUGUCCUCAUUGCCCUACUGAUGCUUCCUGGAAUCACCUCCCAAAGAAACUGCUUGCACACAAAACCUUGUAUGCAAGACAUUUGCAAUCUAAAUUAAGUCUCCCUGUUCUUUCUCAGGGCACUCCCCACCCCCAGCUUAAUAGCACUCAUCAUGAUAUGUAAUUAUGCAUUUGUUUGUGUAUCUAUUUGUUUAAUGAGGGCAGAGACAAUGUCUAUUUUGUUCACCACUAAAUCCCUGCACAUCACUCAACCCAGAGCUUAACAUGUGGUAGAUGCUCAACGUAAAUUCUGUUGAAGGAAUGAAUGUAACAUCAUUAGAGCUUUCUAAUCUUUCACCCUUUGGGGUGGUUCAAAAACAUGACCCCAAAGUUUCCUGACACUCCUUCCAAUGAGAAGCGGGGUCCUUCUCUCCUUGAAUCUGGAUACGCUGGUGACAGCUUCAACUAAGAGAAUGAAAGGGCUAGGUCAUAAAAGGCCACACAGCUUCUGCCCUGAAGCCCUGAAUAGCUGUCAUGUAAGAACUCUGACUACCCUCAGCCGGCCAUGCUGAGAGGAGGCCCAAUUAAUAUGAAGGGACAACACAUAGGUGCAGAGAUCCAUAGUCCCAACUGAGCCCAGUCUCCAAGUCAUUUCAGCCUAAGUACCAGAUGUGUGAAUGAAGAAGCUUCUGGAUGAUUCCAGCCCCCAGCUCUUUUCAAGUCUUCUCAACUGAGACCCCAGACAUUGUGGAGCAGAGAGAUCCACAAUGCUUUGGCCCGUCCAAAUUCCUGACUUAUGGAAACUUCGAGCAUAAUAAAACCGUUGUUAAGCUGCUAAAUUUUGGAGUAAUUUGUUAUGCAGAAAUAAUUGGAAGACCUUGAUUGUGAGUUUAUUAAUUCUGCAUUUAUUUGAAAGUCAUUUAUCAAGUUCCUACUAUGUGCCAGGUGAUGGUUACACAGUAGCAAACAAGGGAAAGAUCCCUACCUUCCGGGAACUUACAAUCUAGGGGCUGCUGUUGUAACUGUAUCUUGCAAAAGCCUACAUGUUGCUUUUUAACAAUAAUGAGUAGGUUUUUCUGAAACCACUUCCAGAUGGUGUGGGGGGAGGGGUGCUUCCGGAGUGAGUUGCUAAGGGAAGCUCCAGGGGUAGGUGGAUUAGAUAACACAGACCCAGGGAGCUCUAUUAUUUGCUGGCUGUCAACCACCACUGUCCUGCAAAUCAUCCACAGACUAGCUGCACCCCCA
rnacentral:lncRNA from 10 species